CCCUCCGUCAGUGGGAGGACGUGGGCACGUUGCAUAAUUAACAGCUGAGAUUCAGGAUCACAGAGCCGAGAGGAGACGUCCUCCAUCACUCACAAUGUCCUGUUAGAGGCGAUGAAGACAAGGCCAAGUCACACAGGAAGUAGAUCUUCCUUACGGCUGGGAGGAGGCCUUCACUGCAGACGGAGUGAAAUACUACAUCAAUCACAUGACCCAGACGACGUCCUGGAAACUUCCUGUGACGGCCCCGGGGCCCGCCCCCCCCCCACAGACCACCGAGGUGCAGGCCGAGCGGGACGGGGAGGCGAAGGAGCGGCGGCCCGGCUCCUCCAUCGAGACGGAGAUGUGAAACGCUGCAGUUUCAUUAAAGUCAUUAAAAAGUUUAGUUUCACCUUCUUUCAAACCCGCAGAACUUUAUUUAAAACGUACACUCCCACAUUUGAGGAAAUACGCUGGUCUGCUGUCUCGCACCUCGUGAGGACGUCACGUUCUAUAUUACGUCCUUUUAUGAAUUCAA